UUCAGUGCUCUGCAUGUGUUUAUAACUCUGUCAAACAUCAAACAUGAUCAACAACUGUUUUUCACUAGAACUGAACCUACAACCAACAAAAAUGACUUUCAGCACCAUAUUGAUCUGGACGCUGGCAGUAUUAUGUCGAGAAUCUGUUGGUCAGGUGACAGUGACUCAAACUCCCUCAGAGCUGCUCUCUCAAACUGGACAAUCAGUCACUGUGACCUGUAAAACUAGCAGUGAUCCAGACUGCUGUUACAGUAAUGAUGCACAAGCAGCACAACCUGCUCUCAGCUGGUACUUACAGAAACCUGGAGAAGCUCCUAAACUCCUGAUUUAUUAUACAAACCGUCUCCAGUCAGGAAUUUCAUCUAGAUUCAGUGGGCAGUAA